rnacentral:rRNA from 1 species
AUUGAACGCUGGCGACAUGCCUUACACAUGCAAGUCGAACGGCAGCACGGGAGCUUGCUCCUGGUGGCGAGUGGCGAACGGGUGAGUAAUACAUCGGAACGUACCCAGGAGUGGGGGAUAACGUAGCGAAAGUUACGCUAAUACCGCAUAUUCUGUGAGCAGGAAAGCGGGGGAUCGCAAGACCUCGCGCUCUUGGAGCGGCCGAUGUCGGAUUAGCUAGUUGGUGAGGUAAAAGCUCACCAAGGCGACGAUCCGUAGCAGGCUCUGAGAGGAUGAUCUGCCACACUGGGACUGAGACACGGCCCAGACUCCUACGGGAGGCAGCAGUGGGGAAUUUUGGACAAUGGGGGCAACCCUGAUCCAGCCAUGCCGCGUGAGUGAAGAAGGCCUUCGGGUUGUAAAGCUCUUUCGGCGGGGAAGAAAUGGCAACGGCUAAUAUCCGUUGUUGAUGACGGUACCCGCAUAAGAAGCACCGGCUAACUACGUGCCAGCAGCCGCCGUAACAC